rnacentral:rRNA from 1 species
ACGCUGGCGGCACGCCUAACACAUGCAAGUCGAACGAAGUAGCAAUACUUAGUGGCAGACGGGUGAGUAACAUGUAGGUAUCUGCCCUUUGGCCUGGAAUAACACGAGGAAACUUGUGCUAAUACCGGAUAAGUCUUUACGGAGAAAGCUUUAUGCACCAUUGGAUGAGCCUGCACUUGAUUAGUUUGUUGGUGGGGUAAUGGCCUACCAAGACUUUGAUCAAUAGCUGAUUUGAGAGGAUGAUCAGCCACAUUGGGACUGAGACACGGCCCAAACUCCUACGGGAGGCAGCAGUGGGGAAUCUUGCACAAUGGAGGAAACUCUGAUGCAGCGAUGCCGCGUGAGUGAAGAAGGCCUUUGGGUUGUAAAGCUCUUUCGUCGGGGAAGAAAAUGACUGUACCCGAAUAAGAAGGUCCGGCUAACUUCGUGCCAGCAGCCGCGGUAAUACGAAGGGACCUAGCGUAGUUCGGAAUUACUGGGCUUAAAGAGUUCGUAGGUGGUUGAAAAAGUUGGUGGUGAAAUCCCAGAGCUUAACUCUGGAACUGCCAUCAAAACUUUUCAGCUAGAGUUUGAUAGAGGAAAGCAGAAUUUCUAGUGUAGAGGUGAAAUUCGUAGAUAUUAGAAAGAAUACCAAUUGCGAAGGCAGCUUUCUGGAUCAUUACUGACACUGAGGAACGAAAGCAUGGGUAGCGAAGAGGAUUAGAUACCCUCGUAGUCCAUGCCGUAAACGAUGUGUGUUAGACGUUGGAAAUUUAUUUUCAGUGUCGCAGCGAAAGCGAUAAACACACCGCCUGGGGAGUACGACCGCAAGGUUAAAACUCAAAUGAAUUGACGGGGACCCGCACAAGUAGUGGAGCAUGUGGUUUAAUUCGAAGAUACGCGCAGAACCUUACCAACACUUGACAUGUUCGUCGCGACUUUAAGAGAUUAAAGUUUUCGGUUCGGCCGGACGAAACACAGGUGCUGCAUGGCUGUCGUCAGCUCGUGUCGUGAGAUGUUGGGUUAAGUCCCGCAACGAGCGCAACCCUCACUUUUAGUUGCCAUCAUUAAGUUGGGCACUCUGAAAGAACUGCCAGUGAUAAGCUGGAGGAAGGUGGGGAUGACGUCAAGUCCUCAUGGCCCUUACGUGUUGGGCUACACACGUGCUACAAUGGUAUCUACAACAGGAAGCAAAACGGCAACGUUAAGCAAAUCCCUAAAAGAUACCUCAGUUCGGAUUGCACUCUGCAACUCGAGUGCAUGAAGCUGGAAUUACUAGUAAUCGUGGAUCAGCGUGCCACGGUGAAUGCGUUCCCGGGUCUUGCACACACCGCCCGUCA